rnacentral:misc_RNA from 1 species
CAGAACUAUUAUGAACUUUAUUGUCACAUACAACAACAUACUCUGAAUGAUUAUAAACUUGCAAUCCACAACUCCAAAUAUUUCCUUGUAUCAACAUCAUGGAUGCAUCUUAGCACAUCACAACCAAGUUCAAUAUAAAUACUAUGAACAACAUUGCGACUCCGUUCAUUACUAAUACUUCGAAGCAUAGAAAGAAAUGUACUGUGAUUACACACUUGGACACUUAAAUAUUUUUCUCCAGGAAGGUAAUCCUGUUACGGACAUUUAUUGAGGAUUCUGUACCAUAUAAAAGUAGAGAAAGCAAGAUCAAAGAGCUUUUCACAAUACCAACAAACUUGUUCAAAUACUAUAGAAACUCGAAAUGUUAUUGGCUUGAGUUGGCCUGAAGAAGACCAUCCCUGAUCUGUGUGGCAAUGUCUCUCACAGCACCAGGUCCAUGAGGUAUGAAAACAGAGUUGGACUUUGAGGAUGCACCAAUCUCCUUCAUGGUGUCGAAGUAUUGGGUCACUAGAACCAUGUCCAUGACAUCCUUAGAAGUUGUCCCUGGUACAUUCUCAGAGAAAGCUAGAACACUAUCUCUCAGCCCAUCUACAAUGGCCUGGCGCUGUCUAGCAAUACCAAGACCUGCAAGAUAUUUUGACUCUGCAUCUCCUUCAGCUCGCUUGAUCUGCAAAAUCUUCUCUGCUUCAGCUUUUUCAUUGGCAGCCACCCUCAUUCUAGCAGCUGCAUUGAUCUCAUUCAUUGCCCUCUUCACAUGCUCAUCUGGCUCAAUAUCCACAAUAAGAGUCUGAACUAUCUCAAAUCCAUAAUGCGACAUGGCCUUCUCAAGUUCCUCUUCCACAGCUUUUGCUAUAUCAUUUUUCUGUUCAAAGGUUGAAUCCAAAUCCAACUUUGGAACGCUUGCCCUAAUAACUAAAGAAACAAGAUGUCACAUGAAUUGUAGUAGGCCUAAAUCCAAAAACUCAACCUUAUGACUAUUCUACAGCUCAAAUCAAGCAAAACUUUCCUUCCCAACACUCGCCACCUAACAAAUCAUAAAUUACUAAGAAAACAAGACGGUAAAAUGUUCACCAAAAAAUCACAGUGAUAGAAAGAAACCCCUUGUUAAAAAAUAAAAAGGAAGUGCAUCAUUUUAAGCAUUGCUAACCUCUUUCUCCACUAAGUUUAUGGAAAUUGGGCCCAAUAUCCCCACAUGGCUGAACAGUUCAGGUUCUCAUAACCAAUCUAAUUUAUAAUUCCAAGAAAGCAUAUCAUGAAUAUGGAACCCAGAGAGAAUUUGAUUCUCAAUUUCCUUAUUUUGAUAAAAAGUAUGAGAGUACAAUUGCACAACACUGCAUCUUAAAAAAUUAUGUCAGAAUCUAUGGUGGUGGGAGAUUGUAUCCGUAUCCCAUCAUAUGCUAACAAUAGCAUAUGUGAGACCUCAACAAUCUGCCUAUGGUGAUAAUUCAGGACGCAAAGCUAGAACAGGAAUCUAACAGAGGGAAAAAAAAGGAGGUGGGAAGGAUCAGGAGCAACUAACAAAACUUCUGAAAAUUUAAAAUCUCAUGCCAAGCUAAACUAAAAAUUUGUACCAUCAAAGACGUAGGCUUGGAUCUGUGCUCUGGUAUUGCUGAGCUUAUAGAAAGCAUCCGCAGCCUUUUCUGCCAAUGCUCGGUAUUGAACAGAAGCAACCACAGUAACAAACACAUUAUCCUUGGUUUUGGUUUCACAUCGAACGUCCAGCUGCUGCACACGUAAAGAGAGAUGCCCUGCUAACUGGCUCCCUAAGCACCAAGGCAAACAGUGACAACCAGGCUCAAGCACAUCAUCGAACUUCCCAAAAGUUUCCUUGAUAGCCACAGUUGACUGGUCCACUUGAAUGCAACCCAAAACUUGCCCCAUUUUCUGAUCAAACCAAGUACAGUAACAUCAGUAAGAAUCUGCUGGGAAUGUUUUGGAAUAUUGCAACAGAAGCGUAGUAUCCAUUAUGGCAGGGCAUUUACCAUCCUAGUAUAUGUAUCAACAAAGUAACAUGACACAAAGACCCUAAAAAAAGAAUACAACCUCUAAUCAUAUUCUGAGUGCAGAACCGCAGAUGCACGAGUAUGCUAAGAAAUUUCCCUGUGUCUUUCAAAGGAAUCAAAAGGUCUAAAGAGAAAUUGACAUCCUAGCAGAGAGUACACAGAAACAUGUUGACUAAAUUAAAUCAGAAAAGAUAAUAACUGAUAAAUUGAUCUGUGAAAACACGAAUCAAUCACGUUUGUAAACCAUUUUCAACAAUUUCAAAAUACCACUUUAUGGGCGAUCUUGGUCAUUCUAAGAACCAAAUCAUACUAGAAACUCUUUAACAAGAACAUAUUUAUUCACCAAUCAAUUCUCACUCUUACCAGAACUAAUACUACUUGACUUGUUAAGAAAUAAUAAAUGCUUACAAGGCCAUAUUUGAAUACCAAAACUAAGAAAGAAAUCAAUGAUAGAAUAAUAAAAGCAAAUGACAAAGAAUCAUAUAUUGUGCCCUUGCAAUUGUAAUAAGAACUUACUGCAGAUCAAAAAAUUAAAUGUAAGAUCAACAAGAGAGUUACGGUGAGAUCACUUUCAAAGUUAAACUUUCCCCAUAUAUACAGGAAAAUUUAAACAAACUGAGAGCAUUGUCAGUAAGAAAUGUCACAUAAAAGCUUGCCCAGCUAAUAGCUCAGAAUUGCUAAUUCCAUACAAAGUACUAGCUUCCCUAAAUAAAUAAUGCUAAUAAAGACCUGUAAACAGUUUAUAUUGCUUUAAACACAAAGCAGAACAAUCUAAAACUGUUGACUGCAAUUUUUAAUAUCAAAACCAAAAUUACAAUACAUCAGUAGAACCGUCCACUAGAUGUGCACGGAGCAGCUCCAUAACUCGUAAUAGCAAUAGAUAUAUGUUUUAAGAAACAUCAGCAAAAUAUUCUAAAAAAAUAUCAGGUUACCUUUGCAAGACACAAGGAGGCAUCACUGGCAAGAAGAAGGAGGUCUUUACGUAUAAUUUAUAAAUGAAGGAUGAAAAUGUGAAAGCGACAGGGUCUACGACGUAUCCCUAUAGCCCUACACACAGAUACUGGAUAUGCACAAAGCUACAAGAUAAGACGCACAUUCACACAAGAAACUUUUUUUUCCUUCCCCCAUUAGUCAACAAUAAAUAUCUUGGCAAAUAUCCCAAUCAUUUUCUAAGAAGAAUUCAAACAUAAAUAUAAAAAUUAAGGAUUAUUAAAAACUAUACAUACAGGUGCAAACUAAAUAAUUAAUAAAUAAGCAAUCAUUUUCUUUAAUAAAAAAGGAAAACACGCAAGGACUCCGUAAACAAGUUGCUAUUUCCCACAGGAGGUCAACAUCCACUAAGUAUAUUCCAUACCGGAUUUGACAUCAAUAAACUCAAUAUAUUGUGAAUCGCAACAUUAAAACCCUAAUUUCUGUUCUUGCUAAAUCAUAUUGAAAUCAUACUUCGCAGUUACAUCGAAACUAGUAAAAUUCUUCGCUCACCUAUCGAGUUUCGAAGUGAAAAACCACGAUUACUUUGCCGCUCUCCAAAUAUGAUUAUCCAGUUCAGCAGAUAAAAGGAUUGUAAUUUCUGCAAAGAAGUUAGAAGUAGAUGCAAAUUCAGUGGGAAGGGAUUGAAAUUUCCGCGAAACAAAACCAGCAUAAGAGGCUGGCAGAGAAAAAGAUGGGACGGUUUUUUUCUCUCUAUAGAUAACUACGACUUUAUCUAGAUAUUG